ACGCUGGCGGCGUGCUUAACACAUGCAAGUCGAACGGAAAGGCCCUGCUUUUGUGGGGUGCUCGAGUGGCGAACGGGUGAGUAACACGUGAGUAACCUGCCCUUGACUUUGGGAUAACUUCAGGAAACUGGGGCUAAUACCGGAUAGGAGCUCCUGCUGCAUGGUGGGGGUUGGAAAGUUUCGGCGGUUGGGGAUGGACUCGCGGCUUAUCAGCUUGUUGGUGGGGUAGUGGCUUACCAAGGCUUUGACGGGUAGCCGGCCUGAGAGGGUGACCGGCCACAUUGGGACUGAGAUACGGCCCAGACUCCUACGGGAGGCAGCAGUGGGGAAUAUUGCACAAUGGGCGGAAGCCUGAUGCAGCAACGCCGCGUGCGGGAUGACGGCCUUCGGGUUGUAAACCGCUUUCGCCUGUGACGAAGCGUGAGUGACGGUAAUGGGUAAAGAAGCACCGGCUAACUACGUGCCAGCAGCCGCGGUGAUACGUAGGGUGCGAGCGUUGUCCGGAUUUAUUGGGCGUAAAGGGCUCGUAGGUGGUUGAUCGCGUCGGAAGUGUAAUCUUGGGGCUUAACCCUGAGCGUGCUUUCGAUACGGGUUGACUUGAGGAAGGUAGGGGAGAAUGGAAUUCCUGGUGGAGCGGUGGAAUGCGCAGAUAUCAGGAGGAACACCAGUGGCGAAGGCGGUUCUCUGGGCCUUUCCUGACGCUGAGGAGCGAAAGCGUGGGGAGCGAACAGGCUUAGAUACCCUGGUAGUCCACGCUGUAAACGGUGGGUACUAGGUGUGGGGUCCAUUCCACGGGUUCCGUGCCGUAGCUAACGCUUUAAGUACCCCGCCUGGGGAGUACGGCCGCAAGGCUAAAACUCAAAGGAAUUGACGGGGCCCCGCACAAGCGGCGGAGCAUGCGGAUUAAUUCGAUGCAACGCGUAGAACCUUACCUGGGUUUGACAUGGAUCGGGAGCGCUCAGAGAUGGGUGUGCCUCUUUUGGGGUCGGUUCACAGGUGGUGCAUGGCUGUCGUCAGCUCGUGUCGUGAGAUGUUGGGUUAAGUUCCGCAACGAGCGCAACCCUUGUUCACUGUUGCCAGCACGUUAUGGUGGGGACUCAGUGGAGACCGCCGGGGUCAACUCGGAGGAAGGUGGGGAUGACGUCAAGUCAUCAUGCCCCUUAUGUCCAGGGCUUCACGCAUGCUACAAUGGCUGGUACAGAGAGUGGCGAGCCUGUGAGGGUGAGCGAAUCUCGGAAAGCCGGUCUCAGUUCGGAUUGGGGUCUGCAACUCGACCUCAUGAAGUCGGAGUCGCUAGUAAUCGCAGAUCAGCAACGCUGCGGUGAAUACGUUCCCGGG
rnacentral:rRNA from 1 species